rnacentral:rRNA from 1 species
UACGUAGGGGGCAAGCGUUGUCCGGAUUUAUUGGGCGUAAAGAGCGUGUAGGCGGCCAUACAGGUCCGUUGUGAAAACUGGAGGCUUAACCUCCAGACGUCGAUGGAAACCGUAUGGCUAGAGUCCGGAAGAGGAGAGUGGAAUUCCUGGUGUAGCGGUGAAAUGCGCAGAUAUCAGGAAGAACACCCGUGGCGAAGGCGGCUCUCUGGUACGUGACUGACGCUGAGACGCGAAAGCGUGGGGAGCGAACAGG